rnacentral:rRNA from 1 species
CCCGUAACGAGCGCAACCCUUGUCCUUAGUUACCAGCACGUUAUGGUGGGCACUCUAAGGAGACUGCCGGUGACAAACCGGAGGAAGGUGGGGAUGACGUCAAGUCAUCAUGGCCCUUACGGCCUGGGCUACACACGUGCUACAAUGGUCGGUACAGAGGGUUGCCAAGCCGCGAGGUGGAGCUAAUCUCACAAAACCGAUCGUAGUCCGGAUCGCAGUCUGCAACUCGACUGCGUGAAGUCGGAAUCGCUAGUA